GAGCUCGUCGACGUCGAUCGCGUCGAGCAGGACGAGGACCGCCGGAUAGCCGUCGAGGUGCGGGAUCGUGAAGAACCGCUCCGGCUCCGUGGCGAUCAGCAGGUCCUUCUCGUCGAGAUCGCGCACCCGGACGCCGAGGAUCUCACCGGUCGGCGCGGAGGCUCCGAGGGCGGCCAGGUCGGUCUUGCGCAGCGGGCGCUCCCACACGAACCCCUUGUCCCUGACCUGCCACAUCACCGAGCCCCACGAGACCUUCUCGGUCACCUCGGGAAGUGCGGUCGCGAUGCGGCGUACGUCGUCCCAGGUCGCCAUGGCUCGACU
rnacentral:misc_RNA from 1 species